rnacentral:rRNA from 1 species
AUUGCAGGCUGCAACCCGCCUGCAUGAAGUCGGAAUUGCUAGUAAUCGCGGAUCAGCAUGCCGCGGUGAAUACGUUCCCGGGCCUUGUACACACCGCCCGUCACACCAUGGGAGCCGGUAAUACCCGAAGUCAGUAGUCCAACCACGUGAGGACGCUGCCGAAGGUAGGAUUGGCGACUGGGGUGAAGUCGUAACAAGGUAUC